GACACUCAAAUGGCAGUGAACAUAGGUCAGACUUUCAAAAAUACAAUCUGUCUCAGAUUUCAUAUAAAAACCGAGGCUUCUAGGGUUGGGAGGACAUAAAGAACAUGUGCGACAACAGAGCCAUCCUCUGAAUCCCUCCAGACCCAACCGGCACAGCGAAAGGGCGCUGCAGGGUAACCAUCUAGGAAGUACAGCACCAGGCCACGUAACACGGCCCACACCGCAACAGAAGGAAAAAUGGAAGAAAAAGAACACACAUGCCCAAAUAGCACCCACUACCAAUAAUCACCUAGUUAAGGGAAAACCACAUCUAGAGACCACAUUCCCACGCCUCUGGUUACGAGGUGGGUAGGAGCCAGCGCAUGAAAUGGCUGCUGUGUUCCGAAAUCAGAAAACCAGCGCUGAGGGACUGAGAUUUAUUAGCAUGGAAACCACACACACACACACACACACACACACACACACACACAGAGGCAAUGACAUUUUCCUGGGCAGUGUCAUACUUUGAUUAUCUUAAAUUUAUUAACUUAUAAACACGAGCGGUUCUCCCUUGACGUGGUACCACAAUAACUGACCCCAUGAUUCCCCGUGUGGGAAUCGAGACAGGUGCUGGAACCACUGAGCUAAAUCCCCCUGUGUGGGAACUGUGUCCACGGAAACCAUGCAGAGUGAGGAGAUCAUUCUGAUUCGCUCAGGUUACUGUGCCACCCAAAGCAAAAAAUGCCAGAGCUGAAGUACAUGCCAUGGCAGUUCCAGAAGUCCUCACUCAUAAAGGACACCAUUUAAAGACUUGUCUCCAGGUCUACAUGAGUUGCCUCAAUGAUACUCAAAAGGAGAAAACAAACCUUCAAGACCCUUUCCCCUUUAACUUUUUUCCUUUUUUUCGCCCUGGUGCUUCGAAUCAGACCCUGGGCCUCGUGCAAGGGCUCUGCCACUGAGCUACCCCGGGCCCUUUGCUUAACCUCCCUGCCCAUUGAGUCCUAGCCCAAAGCUGCAGAGGAGCAGGCAGAGCCAGGAGUGGGUAGGGAGAUACAUACAGAGGACCUCCCCACCCUUCCACCGUCUCCAGUCCCCCACUCUGAAGCAGCUCAUUAACCGCUCAUGCUGUUCACUCCUCCAUCCACGUGUGAGCAAACUGCCAACGCUGCCGGCCAGCCUUCCGAGGGCUCAGCACAUGGCUGGCUGUGCUGCCAGUGCCCUGGCAUGGGUCCUCCUUCGCUCACCCAUCCAAACCUCCGGAGCCCCCACUCCCACGGUGGCCUCUCAGUGGUCCUGGCAGUGUAAUCCUGUUUUCUCCACAAGACCCCAGGUCUUAGCAACUGUCACUUGGGUUGGGGGCCUGUAUAUUUUAAGUUUACUGCAACAGUCACUCUUUAUCCAAGGUUUCGCUUUCCAAAGUUUCAAUUACACAGGGUCAACUGUGUUCUGAAAAAACUAAAUGAAAAAUUGCAAAGAUAAAUAAUUCAUAGCUGGGUGUGACAGCACAGGCCUGUUAUCCCAGUGCUCUGGGAGGAUGAGGCAGGAGGAUUGCCAAGUCUGAACCCAGCCUGGACCACUGGGCACCUGGCUGAGACCCUACCUUCAAGGGGGCAGGGGUUGGAAAUGUACAGCAGCUCAAAAAGAAGGCCCGGGUUUGAUCUCCAGUACUGAAAAAAAAUUUGUAAGUUUUAAAUCACAAGCCUCUUCAACUGGCAUGAAAUCUCUCACCACUCCCCUCUCUCCCACCAGGACGCCAGUCAUUCCUGCAUCCUGUGUAUUUGCACUGUAUACGAUACCCACCCAUUUGUCACUUGGUACCAGCUCACUUAUAGAUCAACUGUCACAGUAUCUGCAGUGCUGUGUCCAACUAUGGAAUCCUGUUUUACUUAAUAACGUCCCCAAAGCACAAGAGUGGUUCUGCCUGCAGUUUGAAUGUGCCAAAGAGAAUCUAUAAAGUGAUGCCUUAAGUGUGAAGGUGAAAGUUCUUGACUUAAUAAGGCUAGAAAAAAAAGUAUAUGGAGGGUGCUGAGAUCGUCAGUACAGCACCUUGCAUGGGAGACCACAUUCACCUAACCUUUGUCAGCGCAUAUUAUAUAAUUGCCUUUUAGUUACUGAUUAUCUCUUCUUGUGCCUAAUUUAAAGAUUAAGCUUUAUCACGGGUACUUAUGGAUAGUAUUCACAGACUAUUUAUAGAGUUCAGUUCUACACAUGGUUCUAGAUAUUCACAGGGGCCUUCCCCGUGGCUAAAUGGGGGGGCUACUGUGGACCACAAACAUUAUCACUCAAGGUUCAGUCAUUUAGUUUCUACCAAAUCUCUUUCACUGCUUUUAACCUUAAGAAGUCUCAUCAGUGCCUGGGGAAAUAUCCACUUUGUUGUCUUCUCUUUUUUCAUGUUUUUAUAAUUAAUUCUUAAUCCAUCUAGAAUGCUUUGUGAUACAUCUCCAAAAGACAGACUAUUUCCAAAGGCAGCUAGCUACUGGUUAAGACUUAUUGGAAAGAUAAGACAGACUCACUCCCUAACCACGCAGCCUUAUUUUCAAGAAGUACCAUGACGGGCAAUUUGAGGUUGGAAGAAAACAGAAGAUUGGGCCAUCAGAGCCGCUGAGGGUGUGGUUUUCAAACACAUCCAGGCCCUCAUCCACUACAGGCCACACCUCUUCCGAAGGUCCCGAGUUACUUCGUGUAGGUGGGGAAGUCUGGGGCAGCCACACUGCUCAGGUGGCACUGAGACACAGGGACAGGAGGAGGCCACAGAAGUGUCUGGCAACCCUCGGGCAUGCCAGGGAAAGGCCUGGGCCUGGUUCCUACCCUGUGGUGGCUCCUUGCAGGUCAUACGUUCACCCAACAGAUAUUCAUCCAGAGCCAACGCGAGCAUCAGCCCAGUGUGCACACGCGUGCACCCGACACGGAACACGCUGGGGGCAGGUUGGUCUUCACUGAGCACCUGCUUGGUUCCCGAUGGAGAAACUACGCAGAGAGAGAUCAUGUAACAUCCUCAAGAUCACCCAGGUAGCAAGCGAUGGAGAACUCAAAACAGGUCCGACUCCAAAGUCCCGCCCUCCAGGAGGCCACACCCCCCGGGAAGCCCCGCUAAUUUCCCAAACUGGUCACCUAAAACCAAGCAUGAAUUAAUCAAGUGGGGAGGACUGGUCAGGUCAGUGUGCAGGGAAAGCUGCUGUGGUGCAUUAACUGAUGGGCAACUUGCGUGGGGCCGCCCAGCUGAACUGAGCUGGCGUGGCUGUGGGCGUGGAAGACCCACCGGAGGACUGCUGCCGACGGAUAAGGGGAGAACUGCAGGGGAAGAUCGCAUGCAGCUGAUUUUCUUUGAGAAGCUUGCCGCGCGGCUCGUUUUCCUCCGUCAUCAUCGGGCUCCGGCCUGGUGACUCAGACUCUUCCCCCGCCGGCGUUGGGCCUCCGCGGUGCAGAUCCUCGAUGUGGACUCUCUGGCUGGACGUGAGGACAUCGCCGUGGGCUCCAGGCCCUCGGCUGGAAUCUUCAGGUCUCUAGCACGCGGAAAGAUCUCUCUCACUCCUCUGCAUUUGACUUUUUGACAUUUACAGAGUGCUGACCAGACUCUCUGCUCGGGGCUGGGAGAUGGAAUAAGACAGAGGAAGGAAUGUCCCCGUCCACCCCCCGGAGCACACACGGCCUCCCUGGACCUGGGCCAUGUCCCCACAGCCCGAAUAGAGACAACCUCAGAGUCCACUCUUCCUGUACCCAAGCCCUCUGGAGCUGCCCAGGCACACUUUCGAGGGCCAUGCUGCGGCCAUCGGGGCUCCUCGCAGGUGCUGCCACAUGUGCAAAUUCUCUUUCAUCAAGAGAUGCUUAGGGCACUGUAUUUUUAGAGCUCCUCUUUGUUACAUCACUUCUGACGUCAGCUUCUGAAUUUCUAUACGGCCUAUGUUCUUGAAAUGACAGCUUUAUUGGGAUAUAAUUCAAGUCCCAUAAAUUCACCCUUUAAAGUGCAAGAUUCAGGGCUCUUGGUACAGGUACCCAGCUGUACAACCUGCACGACUAUCUAACUCCAGAGUAGUUUCAUCCUCCUAAGAAACCCCUUCCACACUGGAAGUCACCCCACUUCCCCUCCUCCUCCCUUCCACUACCCCCAAGACAACCACGAAUCCACUUCUUGUCCCUUAGCAUUUCAUAUGAAUGGGAUCAUACA